GUCUACGGCCAUGCCACCCUGAACAAGCCCGAUCUCGUCUGAUCUCGAAAGCUAAGCAGGGUCGGGCCUGGUUAGUAUUUGGAUGGGAGACCACCUAGGAAAACCAGGUGCUGUAGGCG
rnacentral:rRNA from 1 species